AUUUUUUCCUAAAGACACUAUAAUUAGGAAAUUCUGCUUAAGACAUUUAGAAGCAGGUAAUCCCUGAACUCCAGUGGGAAGUUUGCUUAGCUACAGGGUGCGGUGUCCUGCCCAGCAUCAGCAGCACGGAGGCAGGAAGACAGGAGACUGGCUAGCCACAAAGGCCAGGACUUCUCAUCUCAAGUCUGACUCCCAGAAGCCACAGAAAAUGAAACUCCCCCCAAACCCCGGUCUUUGCCUCCAGAGUUGGGCCGCAGUGACCAGUGGUCAGCAGUGAGGCAGAGACGUCAGAGGGUUUGC
rnacentral:lncRNA from 1 species